rnacentral:lncRNA from 1 species
AACUAACUAGGACCCAUGAAUAAUAUUUAGUUUAAUCAAUCCAACAGUCUACUCACAUUACAUAAACGUACUGAAUUAACUACAACUCACGCCAUUUCAGAUUAACAGUACAAAUCCAUUGUUAUUUGAAGCAGUCCUAGGUUAGUUACAAUAAACAAUCAAAUCAAAUAAAACUCUAUAAAACAGAUAGAAGCAUAAAAAAACACAAUAAAAACUUUAGCAGAAAUGUGGCUUCCAUUUCAUCUCAUGCUUUCAACAGAAGUUGAUACAUCAACAUAGGCUUGAGGUGUGUACCUGACAAUCGAAUUACAACAAAAAGAAGAGGAGAUCAACAGCUAGUGAUAAGAGCUAGUAUCCAGCAAAUAAAGCAGCAAUAGGUCGAAUUCAGCCAUCAAAACUAAUUCAACUCCAUCUCAAAAACAAAUCAGGAGUCCAAAAAUGAUUAAAAACCAAAGGAUCAACAGACCAAGUCACAACCAAUUCAAACCAAGCCCAAAUGACCUCCAAAAUGAACCAAGAACACACCACACCCAAAUUGAUCCUAAAAUGUCUUACUGAAACCAAAAAUCUACUGAAAACCAACCAGAAAAUAAUACUGACUCCAGCAAACAAAAUACUGAACUAAAAAUGACUCAAUAGCUAGAAAUCCGAAAGCUCUAAAAAAAACUUUCACAAUUGAUCCCUAAGAAUUGUGUUAAGCUUUUAAAACCCUCUCUCUCUUUUUCAGUCUAAAACUCUUACGAACUGAUGUUUUUAAGCUAAUUUCCCGAAGAAAAACUCUCUAUCUAAAACUCUUUAUGUGUUCUCUGGCUCCUUUCUUUCAGAAUGUUCUCUUAAUGUCCAUUUAAAGAUCAAGUUUACUCCCCUUUUUCCCUUUUUUAUUCAAACACUUUUAUUUACAGCAUGUAUAUUCCCUCCCCAUGUACAGCCCUUUAGCUUUUCAUUAUUACCCCCAUGUUAUCUACUUUCCAGCCCCUUUUUCUUUCUUUAUACUUGUAUUAUUUCAACUUUUUGUUCCCCCAUGUUCUAUUCUGAUUUCCCCACUAAAAGAUGAUGUUCAGAGUCAGUAACCCCUUUACCCUCUUUCCUAUUAUUCUAAUCCAAACAGGUAUGGGCAUAUCCCUUUUUUUAAACCAAUCAAUUCCUUGAGUCCGGGAUGAAGUGAUGAACAAAGCACAUGGCAACAAUUUCUGAUCCUAGAAGUUUUUACCAUUUCACUGUCAAAGGACAUUUUUGAUACAAAAAUUGGAACUGAAAUUGACGUGCAAUAAUCCAGGACUGACUCUUUUAGACUUCGAAACAAACAAAAGUUAAAACCAAAUUGCAAACAACUUUUUCAACACAGAACUACUUUAAUCCAGAAGUUAAAAAACUAAUAGGACAAAAUAUUAAUGAACACGGCUUACACAAAUAACAGAAACAAGAACAAUGAAUGAAACGAAAAGAGGAAAGAUGAACAAGAUUACAGAAACCAACAUAAAAACGAAACAGGAGGAGAUAAGGACUGGAAAUUUAAACAAAAAUAAAAGAUAAAAGAAAAGAAAAGGGAAUUGAAAAUACUUGAAUUCCAGGCGGACCCAAUUAUGAACUUUCUCCUUGUUCCUCUAAUUUGGAUCAAAACGGACAUUAAUCGUAUGUUUUCAAUGUGAAAUUACAUGACUAAUGUCCAAUUCGAUCUACAAAUCUUCACAUGUCCAUUGAAUUUGAGUUAAAAGAACUAGGGUCCAUUUCUGUGAUCUAGUAUUUGAACAACUCUGGGGGGAUUCGAAGUAAAACGGUUUGGAUAUUUCGAUUGAGGGAGGCUUGGUGGUUCAAGGGUGUGAAUUUAGUGGUGAUUAGAUAGGCUAGGGUUUUUGAUGGAUUCUUCGAUUGAUGAUUCGAAGAGACUGGUUGGGAUUCGAGGGAAGCUGUUAGGAUGGUUGGAAUGGGGAGGUCAAGGGUGUUCUAGGGUGUAAAAAAUGGGGAGGUUUUGGUGCCGGUCGCUGCCGUAGGGAUUUCCGGCGGGCGGUCGUCGGCGGUUCAUGGUGGAGGGUUUGUUUGGUCUCUGAGAGAUGACAUGAAGGGGGCCUGAGGAUUUAGGUUUGGGGGGUCUGAGGAUAUUUGGUAUAUUUAAAUGGACGAAUUAAUUUGAGUUGUUGGAUAAUGAAAAUCCAAUGGCUCUGAUCAACUGCUCAGGCGAAACGGGGUCUUCUUGGUUAAGAGGUGUGGGGACUUGGACCGGGUAUGGGAACGGGUCGGGUUAGGUUAAGUGAGUAUAGAGGGAUGAUCUUGGACCGUUAGAUUGAUGUCUUUGAAUGGUCUAGAUUUGUCGUCAUCGAAACGACAAAGUUCUGUUAUCAUACUACGUUGUUUUGAUUGUCUGGGCGACGAGCCUCUUGGAUCAGAGAUGAUUGGGCCUGUUUUGGUUUAAAUUGGACAACCCAAUCCGACUUUGUCCUCCUAUUUUUAUUUUUGUUCUCUUUUCUUUUAUUUUCCUGCCUAAAUUAAUUUUUUUCAAAAAAUUAAAACUUAAAGAUCCUAAAUUAUAGAAACCUAAUUGACUUAUCAAAAAAUACUAAUUAAAUUCUAAUAUCAAUUAUCUCACAUAAUUAAAUAUCAAUUUAAAAUAAAAUCACAUAUUUUGACAUUAAACGCUAAAAAAUGCAAAGUACAUUUUUUCUGAUUUUUUUCAUUUCCGCAAAAUAAAUUACAUAAUUAAUUCUAACUAUAAAACUAAAUCCUAGACGCACAUGAAACGUAUAUUUUUUGUAUUUUUUCAUUAAUUAAAACAAAAAAAUAAACAUGCACAAACAUUACAAAUAAUUAACAAAAUGCCACAAAAAUUCUCAAAUUGCACACAACGAAAAAUUAUUUUAUUUUGAAUUCUUUUGGAGUAAUUCGUGUGGGGAAAAAAUUAUGUGCUCACAGCUGUCCAUCUUUAUCUGAAAACAUAAAGAGUUUUCGUGCAAAGACAAAAUGAGCGAAUAUGAGCGAUUUUUGCCCACUAGAGUACUCUGUAUGAAGCAUUUUUGAAAGAUUUGACCCAACAUCUGCUUCAAAGGUUUCUUAAAUAUACUUGGCUAAAAAGGAAUUAGAUCAAUGUGGUUCGGGAAGUUUCGAUAGCUGGGACUACCAUGAAGUUGUGGUUUUACUAUUACUAUUGUUGUUUCUGCUGAUAUUGCUUACUGGCCUCCUUAUUACACCAUGCUAAAAAGAAAAUAAGAAGCUAGACUAAACUAGUCUAUGAGUUACAAAAUCUUAUCUAGAUCUUCCACUGCUUUUGUGUCUCUUGUUGACUUGAUGCCUUGUUGAUUUGUGUUUCCUCCGAUUUUUCUUUACUUUUGACUUGACUUGUGGUCUUCUCUUCCUUAGACGGGUGUGUGAUGGUUGAACCUGAACUGCUCCUUCCUCCUUGUGAAAUUGGAAUUAUUUUUCUUUCGAAACUUGAACUUUCUUCUUUCGACCAUUGUUGACAUCCUUCUAAUUUUUGAAUUUGAAUUUAUAUUGGGGAUUUUUGUUGUAUUCCUCUGCUUUACUGACUUCAACAACUACUUAAAAAGAUAAUGCAUUUCUGCUUUCCAGGCGGGCUCCUGACCUCAACUACAACUUAAAAAGAUAACGCCUUCCCAAUUACAACUUAAAAAGAUAACGCCUUUCCGACUACAACUUAAAAAGAUAACGCCUUUCCGUUGUCCAGGCGGGCUCCUGACCCCGGCUACUAAAAUGUAUUCCACUUACAUUGUACUCCCUUUCAUCCUAAACCAUUUCCCUUUGAAACUUGAAUUAUCCUCCUUCCAAAAAUCGCUUUCCUUAAAAUUUGUGUUGUCCUCCUCCGAAAAUUACUUCCUUUAAAACUGGCGUUUCCUUCCUCUGGAAACUACUUCCCUUAAAACUGGUAUUUACUUUCUCCGAAACGGACUUCAUUAAAACUUGUGUUAUCUUCUUCUCUCUUAAAUCUUGAGUUUUCUUCCCUGUUCCUCAAAUGGGUACCUGACUUCCAGAAAUUUUCAAAACGAAAGAAAAUUUCCUGCCCCAGUUUGAUAAUCUUCCUUGUAUCAUACCUUUCCACCAUCAAUAACAUCUCCAUCCCCUGUUUUAAAUCAAAGAAAAUUUGUCAGUUUAAAAUGUGAUGAUUGGUUGUGAUACUCCUACCGAGGAUGGUUUUCUUUCUUCUCUCCUUUACAUGCUCUGCUUCGUCCAACUGCCUUGAGCUUGGUGGGAAACUUCUAACAUUUUGCUGCUUCCUUAUCUACAAACUUUCCAAUUGUUUCUUCCUACUUUUAGCUUUCUUAUCUAAAACUUUUACACUUGUUUCCUUCCCCUUUUUGUUAUAAUAGAAGAAAUAUUCAUCAGACUAAGAUUGUUAUCUUUAUCUUAGUUAAAAGAUUCAUCAAACUAAGAUUUUUAUCAUUAUCUUAGGUGAAACAUUUAUCAAACUGAGUUUUUUAUCUUUAUCUUAGGAGAAAGAUUCAUCAUACUAAGAUUUUUAAUUUUAUCUUAGGUGAAAAAUUCAUUAGACUAAGAUUUUUAUCUUUAUCUUAGGAGAAAGAUUUAUCAUACUAAAAUUUUUAUCUUUAUCUUAGGUGAAAAAUUCAUCAAACUAAGAUUUUUAUCUUUAUCUUAGGAGAAAGAUUCAUCAGACUAAGAUAUUUUAUCUUUAUCUUAGGUGAAAAAUUCAUCAGACUAAGAUUUUUUUAUCUUAGGAGAAAGAUUCAUCAGACUAAGAUUUUUAUUUUUAUCUUAGGUGAAAAAUUCAUUAGACUAAGAUUAUUAUCUUUAUCUUAGGAGAAAAAUCACCAGACUAAGAUUUCGAUCUUAGGAGAUGAUUCAUCAAAGUAGGUUCAAUUUUUCGAAUCUAGACUUUCUUAAUUUUUUUCAAAUUUAUACUUCCUUUUUUUUCCCAAAUUCUGCCUUCCUUUAUUUUUCUCAAAUUCUGCCUUCCCCUCUUUUUAAAAAAAAAUUAUCCUAGGAGAAAAUUCAUCAGACUAAGACUUUUAUCCUAGGAGAAAAUUCGUUAGACUAGGUUUUCUAUCUUAGGAGAAAGAUUCAUCAGACUAAGACAUUUAUUAAUUAACCAUUUUCUCUAUCAUCCAGAUCACUGAAAUACCUUUUGUUCGGUCGGGCCCCACAUCCUUUAUUUGUUGCAUUGCUCGUGAACCGACAUCUUCCCAACCUUUGUGUCUCACAUGAAUCCCGAAUCAUGUCCAUUUCUCCCACUCUUCAUAUAUGUACUUGUUUCUUGACUUGUCCACUAGCCUUGGCCUUGAGGUCUGUUGCUCAUUUACUUGAUAUGGCGACUAAUUUCCAUUCAAAGAGCUCGCUAGUUUCUUGACUAAGCACUUCCUUUAUAAACCUUGACCCAGAAAAUACUUCUCUUCGUCUGAAUCCGAUACCUUCUAUCUUGUCGUAUUGCUCAUGGACCGUCAUUUACCCAACCUUUGUGUUUCCCCUAAAGCAUGUUGAUUAUUACCAGCUCAGUGCCCUAGUUGUUAUUUCUGACAUGCCUUUUUGAUGUACUAGCGAGAUCUCGUCUUGUGCAAUCAACAAGCUGAUGAUAAAUUUUGAAGUCAUUUCUCACUUGUUCUGACCAAACAGACUCAGGAAGAAGAAAUGAACAAGGAAAAGUAACAGAGUAAAAGACAAAGGAAAAAAGAUGAUUCCUAACAAGAAAAACUAUAAAGUAGAAACCUAUCAGGCGUGGAUACCAACUCUAAUGGCCAUGCAUGCACAUGUGGCCUAUUCUCUCAAGCCAUUCUGAUGUUCAACUCUUGUGGUACCCUUAAAGCAUGAAAUUGGGCUUUGAUUCUCCGUCAUUACUCAUCUUUCACAAUCUCGAUCUGGUGAUUUCCCAUCUGAUUCUCAAUCCUUAUCCGACUUGUAGUGCCCGAAGGGUUUACACUAUCAAGGCUCUCUCAUUUUGAUCUUUCUCUCAACUUCUGUCGCCUUAUGGUGCAUGUGAAGGUUUUCACAGGUAAGACUCUCUCAUUUUCAUUUCUUUUCUAUCGGGAUCAGAUGUUAUUCUCGACUUCCAUUUUCCUGACUUGGCAUCUUUUGAAGACUGGUCAAAAGGUCUUUCUUUGGACCGUAGCGUGGGAUUUUGGAUGGGGCUAGAAAGAAAGGGUAUUAAAGGCUCAAAACAAAUUAACUUGGGUUCAAAGUUACAACCUUCGGAACCAGAUUUCAUCACAACAACCACAACUUCUGCCCCAGUUUCUUGCUUGGGGAUUUUUUUAUUUUUGUUACGCUAUGACCGAGUCGCGAAGCACCUACAUAUCCUCUUUGAGGAAUCAGAUCAAAUAUAGUUCAUCCUGAUUUCCUUGUUUUUAUAGUCUUUCUUUUCACUUAUUUAUUAUUUUUUCCUUUUUCUUUUCCUUUUCCUUUUCUCAUUUCUCUUUUCUCUUUUGUUGUUUUGUUGUUUUUGUUGUUUUCUUUUUCUUUUUCUUUUUCUUUAUCUUCCAUGCUUGUGUUGCUAACUAAUUCUAAAAGAGGGGUAUAAAAGAAAUAAAUAAGGCUCAAAAGGGGUAACGAAGGAUAAAGUUUAUAGAUAGCAGAAAAAAAUGCCUCUGUCAUUAUAAUAUUCAAAACAUGUCGAGCCCAAAUAACGUGAUUAAACAUACAUUUGUAGCCUCUUCUGAUGGUGCUAAACUUGACAGCUAUAUUCACAAUUUGCUUUUUCAUUUGUUAAAUACAAAGCACCACUGGGCAACACACUCACUCUCAUUAUCACAAACGACCUUUGUCAAUUUGGCCAACUUGCUUUUAUGGUUUCUUUAUGUUUCAUCUGCCCCAGCCCCUGCCCCAGCCCCACAUGGUUCGAACUUAAAAUGAUCUCAAUAUGUUCUUAAUUCCCUUAAGUGCCCCUAUCAUAUUCCCAAUUUCUUCAUGAUUAACCAUUAAGAAUAUGCCUAGAAUUAUGUGUGCAUGUCAUGUCAUGAAAACUAGCAAAUAAAAAGAAAUAGGAAUAGAAUGACAUAAAAGACAAACUGUAUUUUAUUCACUAAAGAUGGAAAUAUUUGACAACUAAAGAAGAAACCUAAGAUCCAAGUUACAAACCUAAAAUAAUCCGGAUAAUGAAAAUAGCAAUAAAACAAACACAUGUAACUCAUUCAAAAGAAUAGAAAUAUAUAGAGGUUUGACUCAAAAAAUAAAACCUAGAUCACAAAAUCGAAAUAGCCCAGAUAACAUAAAAACAUCAAAACAAGCUAAAGAUUCCCUUUUAAGUGAGGAGGGAAUGACUUUUCCUAACAUUUAGCCAUAAAUGUGCUCAGCAGAAUUACCACAGCUUUUUCUAUUUUCAGUCGGCAAGUUCCCGAGAGGAUUCUCAUACCCCAUAUUACUGGGCAUCAUCCCAACAAAGUGUGCAUCAUCAUGUGCAUGUAAAGGAUUCAACGUGAUAUUCUGGGUGUCACUAUUUUUAAUCAAAUUUUCCUGGAUCAUACUUUCUAUUUCACUUUCAAAUCCCGACAACUUUCCACAUUGCGCCCCUGAGCAUUGGAGUGGUAUUCACACCUUUUAGAUAGGUCAAAGAUUCUUGCAUGUCGGUCCACCUGAUUUGGAGGAAUGAGUGCAAUCAUGUCAUGUUGUUUUAACUUCUCAAAUAAUCUCGCAUAGGAUUCUCCAAUUGGUGUAAAACUAACUUUCAACUUUUUUUCCUUCUAUUACCCCGGCUUAGAUGUGGGUUAUAAGGUACUUGAAAAUUCUUCGGAGGCUGGUGGAGAUUUCGUGAUGCUCGUGCUCGCUUUCUUGGGUGAUUUGAUGGCUGGACAACAUAUUGGGAUGGAUCAACAGAGUAUGGUGGGUUCUGAGGUGGAUACUAAUGCUUGGGGGGCUCAUGGAAAACCUGAUGAGGCUGCACAUACCUUUGAGGUGUUCUUCUAGGACCUCUUCUCGACCCUAAUAUCAUCAUAAUUUCUUCAUCCCUCUCUUUCGCGUCACCAUAUUCAAUUUGGACAGCCUGAGCUGCAGCUUUGAGUGCUGCUUGACUUACAAUUCUGCAUGUCUUAAGACCGUUCUCUACCAUUUCUCCCAUUCUGAUUGCUUCUAAGAAGGAUUUACCAACUGCGGACAUCAUGUUUUGAAAUUAAUCCGGCUCUUGAACAUGAAGGAAGACAAUGAUUAACUUGUGGUCAUCCAUGGGUGGCUUAGCUCGAGCUGCUUGUUCACUCCAUUUAAUGGCAGGGAAAUGCGGUAUGGGCAAUGUCGAUGUUGUACUGGAACUGUUUGACAAAUGCUUGUGCCAUAUUAUUCCAGACAUACCGGUGAGAUGUGUCUUGAUCCAAAAACCAUUCAGAUGCUACUCCCGUGAGACUUUCCCCAAUAUAAGCUAUCAGUAAUUCUUCAUUUCUUCUCACACCUCUUAGUUGAUUGCAAUACCUUUUUAGGUAGGUUAUGGGGUCUCCAUGUCCUUUUUAGGUAGGUUAUGGGGUCUCCAUGCCCAUUGUAUUUUUCAAAUUUUGGAAUAUUGAAACCAUGCGACACAUGGACACCGGGGAACAUACAUAGAUCUCUGAAGGCAACACUCUUUUGACCUGCCACUGCUUGCAUGUUUUUCAACCAUUGUGCUAAUCUUUUCAUUCUUUGGGUUAUUUCUUCCUAUACCAACUUUCUGGCGGGAUUCUUAAUGUUUGCCGGAAGAUCAAAUAAGUACGAGUGCUGCUAUUGUUGUGUAGCAUAUUGUGACUCAUGACGGAGCUCUCCUUGACCAUUUGCCCAUGCUUAACAUAUUUCAGUCAUUUUCUGUUUCGAUAUUCUAUUUUUUUCAAACACCCUAGACUCUAGUUGAACCCUCUGACCCUAAGACUCUUGAGAACUUGUAACAGCUUCGAUAUCAGUUAACAUUUUUCCUCGAAUCUUGUGUUAUCCACUUGCCACAAACCGAACACCUCAACUUUCUUCACAAUUCAAAACAUGUUAGAAUGGACUCUGUUAUAUAUAUAUAUAUAUUUGUGGUCAAAUCUUAUGGAGAUUGCCUACGUAUCAUGACCCCGAAUGAAUCACACCGUGCGUAGUUCUGACAGAUAAGUGCCAAAAUGACUAAUAAAAUUUUUGAUUUUUUUUUCAAAAUUUCCAAAAAAGAAAAAUGUAUUUAUUAAAAUGACUCGUUUUAUUAAUAGAUUCUAAAAGACACUAUCAUCAAAACGGCAAUACAACCUAAAAUAGACUAACAUACUUGACUCAAAAAUAAUUUUCUUUUUCUUUUUUUUUAAAAAAUCAUCAUUAUUUCUAAAAACAAUUCAUAAAAUAUCCGGUCUUGUCAAUACAACAUUUCAGCACUUCGAAGGAUUUAAAGGUUGUGUUUACUAGCUGGCGAAAACCUUAAAAAAUGACCAAAGGUGGUUGUUCCGGAAAAAGCAGCCUUCCGACAUCUAUUUUGAGAAUAUUCGGCUAUUUUUGACAAGAACGGCAUCACCCGACUUAUUUAUGACGAAAAUUAAAAUUUCGAUAUUAUUUGGCAAUUUUUGCAAAAUGGGAGUUUGGACCCGAUGAGGGUUGCCUACGUAUCUCACAUCCGGUAAGAAUCAAACAUGCAUAGUUUGGGGAAACAAACUAUUUUGAAAACAAAACAAACUAAAAUAUUUUUUUUAUUUAAAAAAAAAUCGGCAGAGUUUUGACACUAUUUGGACAUCUGUAUUCUUCAAAACAGGUGGUUAACUCUCUACACUACUUUUUUUUCUUUUCUUCAAAUCUUCACAAUAUUCAAAAAUUGGUCAGCAUGCAAGCCCAAAGCAAAAUAAAAUGCACAAGUAGUAAGAUGCAUCAGGAUGGUCUUUUUCAUUUCAGGUACAUCUCUCCUAGACAGACCCAACCGUUGUGUUGAUUCUGCAUGAUGCAAACAAACGUUCCUACUAGCGAUCCAGCAUGAGGUUUUGUUUCAUCUACGUUCAAAUCUUAUUGGAGAAAGUAUCUAUACUGGCUUACUCGAGCGGACAACUCGAGUCGAUGAGGGUCAGCGUAUCUGGUAGCAUUGCUUUCCGGCUUAACUGACGGUGCUCCUCGCCUAAAACAUGUGUGACUAAAAUCCUUCACUGGGUGUCAAGCACCUCAGCCAUCUCAAAGAAAGCAGGUCAUGUCAAGCAAAUGCCCAGUUUUAAUUUCAAGAAGACUCAGAGGGAAGAUGGGUUUCGUAACAAUUUAUAUACAAUUCACAGAAUAUCAAAGCAGUAAAAACAACAAUUAGCACAUUAGGCCCAUAUAUGUAAAUAAAAUCAGAUAAUAAAUAAAUCUUAUACAACAAUUAUUCCAAGCUCGAAUUUCUAACGUUGAACCAGUGGUUCUGGGUUAACUUCCCCAGUAAAGCCGCCAGAGCUGUCACACCUCCUUUUUUACCUACACCCGCAAGGGCGUAAAGGGAGUUUUUCCAAUUAAAGGACAAUCAAAAUGGGAUUAUUAUUAUUAAGAUUCAGAGUCACCACUUGGGAGAUUUAUGGUGUCCCAAGUCAACGGUUUAACCCUGAAUCAAGGAAAAUAAUGACUCUGUUUAACAGUCUACGCACCAGAAAUCCGAGUAAGGAAUUAUGUUAACCCGGGAGAAGGUAUUAGGCAUUACCGAGUUUCGUGAUUCUAGCACGGCCACUCAACUAUUAUAUUCGGCUUAAAUUAUCUAAUUUUAACAAUUAUGAUCCUAUGUGCAGAUUUUAACUUUAAUCGCUUUUUAUUUAUUUUUUAAAGAAAAUUUGCAACGUCACUAAAACAAGUCUUGAACCAGUCACAUAAAUGCACCCGUAGUUUUUGAUAUAUUUUAACAUUGUUGAGAUUUGAAUUUGGGUCACAUAAAUGCGUACCCGAGCUUAAGAAAGUAAUAUUAUUAGAAUAUUGUCCGAAAGCGACUAACGCGUUUCUAUCUUUGGGGAAUCCGUGAAAUUCAUUAAACGGCUCAUCCCAAAUUCCAAGUAUUUUAAUAUAUAUACAUUUAAAGAGGGGCCCUCCAUUUAUGUGAUUUUUCUGGCGAGGCUCAUCUCUUUUUUUACUUAAAGGCUGAUUCUAAAGCGGCUAUAAUUUUUCGAAUUAUUUUGUUUCCAAAAAAAUACAAGAAAAAGUCCUAAGUAAUUUGUUAUUGUACUGAGGUAAACCAGGCAUCGACACAGGUCUAAACAUGAAUGAAAAUAACACUGGACCUAGGCCCGCGUAUCAGAUAAUUUGAGGCCCAAAGGCUGGAGAACACGACUCGACGUUGAGUCUUAGCCAUCGGCACAAAAUAGCACCUAAAGGAAAAUUCGAAUGCCCCAACUAGUUCCAAAACAUACCACAACAACACCAUACCCAAAUUGAUCCUAGAAUGUCUUAAGUGAAACCAAAAAUCUACUGGAAAACCAACCAAAAAAUAGUACUGACUCCAGUUAACAAAAUACUGAACUAAAAAAUGACUUAGUAGCUAGAAAUCUGAAAGCUCUCAAAAACUCUCACAAUUGAUUCCUAAGAACUGUGUUAAGCUUUUAAAACCCUCUCUCUCUUUUUCAGUCUAAAACUCUUAAGCACUGAUGUUUUUAAGCUAAUUGACUGAAGAAAAACUCUCCGUCUAAAACUCGUUGUGUGUUCUCCGACUCCUUUCUUUCAGAAUGUUCUCUUAAUUUUCAUUUAAAGAUCAAUUUUACUCCCCUUUUUCCCUUUUUUAUUCAAACACUUUUCUUUACAACUUGUAUAUUUCCUCCCCGUGUGCACCCCUUUAGCUUUUCAUUAUUACCCCAUGUUAUCUACUUCCCAACCCCUUUUUCUUUCUUUAUACUUGUAUUAUUUUGACUUUUUGUACCCCCAUGUUCUAUUCUGAUUUUUCCACUAAAAGAUAUUGUUCAGAGUUGUUAGUAUACCCUUUACCCUCUUUCCUGUUAUUCUAAUCCAAACAGGUAUGGGCAUAUCCUUUUUUUUAAAAGAAAACUUGACUACUAACUAUACUAAUCAAUUCCUUGAGUCAGGGAUCAAGUGAUGAACAAAGCACAUGGCAACAAUUUCUGAUCCUAGAAGUUUUUACCAUUUCACUGUCAAAUGACAUUUCUCAUACGAAAAUUAGAACUGAAAUUGACGUGCAAUAAUCCAGGACUGACUCUUUUGGACUUCGAAACAAACAGAAGUUAAAACCAAAUUGCAAAUAGCUUUUUCAACACAAACUUAAUUUAAACCAAAAGUUAAACAACUAAUAAGAACAAAUAUUGAUGAACACGGCUCACACAAACAACAGAAACAAGCACAAUGAAAGAAACGAAAAGAGGAGAGAUGAACAAGAUUAUAGAAACCAACAUAAAAACGAAACACGAGGAGAUGAGGACUGGAAAUUUAAACAAAAAUAAAAGAUAAAAGAAAAGAAAAGGGAAUUGAAAAUACCCGAAUUCCAUGCGGACCCAAUUAUGAAAUUUGUCCCCGUUUCUCUGAUUUGGAUCGAAACGGACCUUAAUUGUGUGUUUUCAAUGUGAAAAUACAUGACUAAGGUCUAAUUCGGUCUACAAAUCUUAACAUGUCCAUUGAAUUUGAGUUAAAAUAAGUAGGGCUCGUUUAUGCGAUCUAGUAUUCGAACAACUCUAGGGGGAUUCGAAGGAAACAAUUUGGAUAUUUGGAUUGAGGGAGGCUUGGUGGUUCAAGGGUGUGAAUUUGGUUGUGAUUGGAUAGGCUAGGGGUUUUAAUGGAUUCUUCGAUUGAAGAUUCAAAGAAACUGGUUGGGAUUCGAGGGAAGCUGUUAGGAUGGUUGGAAUGGGGAGGUCAAGAGGGUUCUAGGUUGUAAAAAUGGGAAGGUUUGAGUGUCGGCCGCCGUCGUAGGCGAUUUCCGACGGGCGGUCGACGUCGUUUCAUGAUUGCGGGUUCAUUUGUUCUUUGAUAGAUGACA